CCCUAAAAAGUGAUUCCCGUCUAUUUAUAGUGGCCCAAAAUUCGCUGACAAAAAUGCCCUUUGGGAGGUUCGGCGACCGCACAAUUCCAUGUGUGGUCCGCACUUUACUUGGUUCUGCAGGUUGAGGAAUUCGGUAGCUGCACAAUUUGGUCUGCGGCUGCACUUCAGCUUCUGCGGCCGCACUUUUCCUUCUGCGGCUGCACUUUUGGCAGGACUUCACUCUUGGUCAUUUUGCACACUCUCUGAACUUUUUGAAUUCUUGUCACUGCGACCAUGUUUUGCAGCCGCACUUUUACGACCCAAAAUCCAUUAAAGGCCGUGAUGGCGCCGGACACCGCUGUCAGGGAAGCCAAAAAUAAAUACUUAAUUUGGUUCUCAUUUUAAAUAUUCUUUUUUGAAAAUCACAUUUCCUUCAAUUAAAUAGUAAAAGAUGAAAUUUACAAAAUAAAUAAUAAUAUUUUUUAACAAUUUCAAUACAGGACAACCCAUAACACCCAAAAACCCGGUGUCACAAGUGCAUGAGCCUCAACUAGGAAUGUAAAAUAAAAUACAACAUCUGUCCGGAAUACAAAUUCGGACAGGAGAAAUAAAAAUACUCUGAAGGAGACUCCGCUGGCUGCAGACUCAUAACGUUGGAUGCAGCUCACCUAAUUCCCCGCAAUAACAGCGCCUCUGUGCCCACAAGACCUCUAGACAUAUUUGCACCUGCAUAAAAAGUGCAGCAAAUGUAGUAUGAGUACGUAAAUCAACGCGUACCCAAUAAGUAUCCUGCCUAACUUCGAAGAAGUAGUGAUGAGGUGUCGACUUCGACACUUACUAUGGGCUAUAAAUAAAACGUCAAUGAUAUAAUUAAGCAUGGAUUACGUAGAACGGAUGUAAGAUCAAUAUCAUAAAAUAAGUAAAUAAUUUUUUUUGUUCAUAAGAAAUUUCCAAAUUUAUUUUCGUCAUUUAACAUUUUUUGGACCUCUGGCCAAUGAAAACAAUAUCAAUUAUUAUCAAUUUCAAAGAUAUAUCAUGCGCAAAUCAUGCCAAGGUCGUACGGUCCGUUCCAACAUAAAUAUUUAAAUCGUACACUACCGAGGGUCGAACAGCGCGAACCAUAGAUGCAUCUAUUUAACCUGCCGAGGCGUUCGGCCCAAUCCACAAAAGAGAAAAUACAAUUUAAAACAACCAAAUUCAAGAUUUAUUAAGGCAACUAUUCAAGAAAUACAAAUUCUCCUUUACGGUCAAGAAGAAUGGAGUUUAACCUUUUAAAGUCCCUUUACCAAGUUUCGAUAUGAUUUAAGCAAUUUAGAUUAACAAGUAGGAUGCAAGUAUCACAAGUACGACAUGAUAUGGGUCCUAGACUACCCAGACAUAAGCAUAUUAGUAGCUACGCACGGACUAUCGUCACCUCGUGCGUACGUAGCCCCCACAAAUAGAAGUACAUAUUGAAUUAUUUCACCUAUGGAGUUAAUUCCCUCUUACAAGGUUAGAAAGGAGACUUACCUCGCUCCGAAGUUCCACAGCCGGCUCCCAAGGCUUUCCAACAACUCAAACCAAUGCCCAUCGCUUUGCGACCACGCCUCCGCUUUUGCGGAACUCACCGAAACACAAGGCCUCGCACCUGCGGAAAGACCCCCGCUUCUGCGACAUCGCAGGUGCGAGCUUCCUUUUGCUCCUGCGCCUUCUUCCGCUUCUGCGCCCCACGCUUCGCUUCUGCGCUUGCGCAUAUGCGUCCUAAACUCCACACCUGCGGUCCUUCCCCUAGCUGACUUGCUCCGCUUCUGCGACCCCUGGGCCACUUCUGCGGCCCCGCACCUGCGGCCAAAACCUCGCAGGUGCGGUUACACCAGGUGACAGCAACUUCAGCAUUUCAUAAGUCCAAAUUUGAUCCGUUAACCAUCCGGAAUCCACCCGAGGCCCCCGGGACCUUAACCAACUAUACCAACACAUCCCAAAACACAUUACAAACUUAGUAGAUGCCUCAAAUCACGCCAAACAAUAUCGAAACUAUGAAUCACCCUCCAACUCAAACCUAAUGAACUUUGAAGCUUCAAACUUCUACCUUCGAUGCCGAAACCUAUCAAAUCACGUCCGAUUGACCUCAAAUUUUGUACACAAGUCAUAAUUGACAUUACAGACCUACUCCAACUUUCGGAAUCAAAAUCUGACCGCGAUAUCAAAAAGUCCACUCCCGGACAAACUCUCCAAAAACCUUCAAAUUUCUAGCUUUCGCCAAAUGACCCUGAAAUGACCUACGGACCUCCAAAUCCACUUCCGGACAUAACGCCCAAGUCCAAAAUCAUCAUAUGAACCUGUCGGAACCCUCAAAUCCCGAUUCUGAGGUCAUUUACUCAAAAAUCACACCUAAGUCAAUUUCUCCAACUUAA
rnacentral:lncRNA from 1 species